rnacentral:rRNA from 1 species
GGGCUGCAGUCGAGAAUCUUCCUCAAUGGACGAAAGUCUGAAGGAGCGACGCCGCGUGUAUGAAGAAACCCCUCGGGGUGUAAAAUACUUUUAUCAGGGAAGAAACAAUGACGGUACCUGAUGAAUAAGGGGCUGCUAACCUCGUGCCAGCAGCAGCGGUAAUACGAGGGCCCCAAGCGUUAUCCGGAUUUAUUGGGCGUAAAGAGCACGUAGGCGGUUUAUCGCAUCUCCUGUUAAAUCUCGGAGCUCAACUUCGGGACCGCGGGAGAGAUGGAUAGACUAGAGAUCGGGAUAGGCAAGUGGAAUUGCUGGUGUAGGGGUUAAAUCCGUUAAUAUCAGCAGGAACACCAAAUGCGAAGGCAACUUGCUAGAACGAUUCUGACGCUGAGGUGCGAAAGCGUGGGGAGCGAAUGGGAUUAGAUACCCCAGUAGUC